rnacentral:rRNA from 1 species
AUGCAGUCUGCUUCCCGCCGGCCGAAGUUCACAGAGCUCACCGCGCAAAAUCUCAAGAUCCUGUGCGACGCGCUCGAGCUGCGCGUUCCGCGGCACGCGGACAUCAUUCCUGGCAUAUCGAGCACAGUGCUUCGGUGCCGGUCCGGCGUGACAAGGCGGAGGGCGGGCAUAUGGCCGACGACCUGGCUGCUCUUCCGAGGAAGGGACCGUAGGGGCAAGACGGCGGAUGCUCGGGAGCUCGCGAGGCUCGUGUCUGGAUCCUACACCGAGUUCGCCACCCUGCAGGUUCAGGGUAACCCCGACAUCCCUGCACAAACCGGCAAACUUGUCCUAAAGAGGCAGAGAUCACCGGACAUCGACAGCGACGGCAAUGGUGGUGACGUCGGGGCGAGGCUGUUUGCAGCCAUCGCAGAGAACCCUCACCGCGUCAUAUUGAUCGAUGGCAUCAACCGACUAGAUGGCGAUUCGGAAAUGCGCAUCAAGAAUGCGAUCGCGGGAGGAACAAUGGCAAGGGGAUACAACAACGACUUGGUUGGUUUGGAGGAUGCCAUCGUGGUGCGGAGCUCUGACGUGUUUGACUCGAGGUCUGGGGCUUCUGCUUCCUCCCCACGGGUGAAGUGA